UGAUAUCGUAAUUGCUAUUUUCAAGGAGUUAUUGUGUAUUCAUUUAGAUUCUAUGUCAACAAAAAUUGAUAUAUGCUUAAAGCUUGUCUAGGUUUUGGAGGUGAGCUUAUCGAGAUCACUUUAAUCUGUUCAUUGAUGAACUAUUUUUAAGAGAGAGUGCAAACUAAAUUGCAAACAUUGUUGAUUGUUUGUUGCCCAAGUUCUCAGGAGAAGAAUUUAGAGGUGAGUGUUUUAGUCUUUAAGUACAAAGGCAGGAUCUCUAUACUUGCGGAGUGAUAAAGUGUGAAUCACUUGUUCAAAGAAAACCAAAUAGAAAAUUGUAAAGAGGAAAGGAAGAAGAGUCGAUUGGAGGUGUUUUAGGAUUGAAACAAAACUAGCGAAGGGCGGAUCACGGUGUUGGAUAAGAGAGGAAAAGAAGAUUGUACAAGCCCAUUUUUUCCCGGGCCCGUACCAGUAAAAACAAACCAAACCAAGACAACCUGUUUACAAACUUUAGUCCAAUGACAGACCCAAACCGAACUACCAAUACCCACCUAAACCUACCCAGGCCCUAACCCAGCAAACCCGGAGCCCAAUAGCUUAGGCCCAAUAUCCUAAAAAAUCUGCCUAGGGUUUCAAAAAGUCUGAAACCCUAGCGCCGCAUCUAGGGUCUUUGACCCUUGGAUUUCUGCCGCCGCCGCCAUUGCCUCGCACCGCCACUGUCCCAUCGUCCCACUUGCGCCGUCACCUGCAAGGAAGAAAACAAAGAAAGCUACCAAACAACAACAACCAAAGAUAGAGAGAUAAUAGAAUAAAAAUAUAUGUAAUUUUUGGGCUAUAAAAAGCCAACGAUUAUCAUUGUAAGGGGUUCGGUUCUUUCCCCUCUUUUACAAACACUUUCAGAAAUCAAAAGAAAAAAUUUUGAAAGGUGAUUUGCGACCAUCUUGUUUUAGAUUUACUUUUUUUUUUAAUUUUGAGUUUCUUUUUAUUUCGUUCUGCAUCUACAAACCAGGAAAAAAUCUAAAAAAGAAAGAAAGGAAGUACCUUUCUUCCAACGCCGCGCCGAAAGGGGGAAAGCCGAGCGGUUUCGCUUCCGUUUGGCGCUUUCGCUUGUCUCUCGCAAGAUUUGGCCUUAGAUCUAUGGCCUAGAAGCUACCGGCUUUGAAAAGGAACCGAAAAGGUCCUAUUUUGCGCCCAUGACCACCGCCCACAGAGGCAUUACGGCGGAGGCGCGCCAGAGCUUAUGGCCGGAUCAUGACCAGAAAGGAGGCCCUUUUAUUGUAGAAACAGAGAAGCAAUUUUUUUUUUAAAUCUC
rnacentral:lncRNA from 1 species